rnacentral:sRNA from 1 species
CAAGCUCUAUGGCCAACAAGAAUACACAACAUAGAAUCACAUUAACUAACAACCAAUCAAAAUACUAACUGCUCACUCAACAUGAGCCACAACAAAUACAACAAAUUCAUAAGCUCAGCCAUCAUGAGCCACUAACCAACAUAAAUCCAACAGAUCAUCCAUACAAGAGCUAGUACAAGCGAAACUAAUUUAUAUUGCUAGCCAAACCACUAACAUGGCAUACACCAAUAUACAUAGAUACCAAGCUAUACCAAGCCACAAACACCAAAAAAAAAAAAAAAAAAAAAAAAAAAAAAAAAAAAAAA